rnacentral:lncRNA from 1 species
UCCGGGACUCCAAAGCCCCUCACCCACCACCACCAUGGCAGGAAAAGGUGCCAAAGGGACGCUGGGUUAGCUCUAUGCUUCAUCCGUGCAACCCCUCCAAGAAGUCACGUACUCCCUGGAGACUGCCACGUGGCUGUUCUUCUUUCUCAGGCCUCCGUGCAGUUGCAGUUGGAACUUGUUCAUGUUGCCGGCUGGUUCCGGCACUCCCCCAUUGCGAUAGCAGAGGUAUGGGAAGCAGCAGACACUGCCCAGGCCCACGGCGUAGCCCACACUCAUCAGUAUAAACUCGAUCUGGCUGCCCCAGUUGCCCCGUUGGCAGCUGUGGUCCUCCUCGGUGGCCUCGCUGGGCAUAGCACCAUUCUAUGCAGACAGGAGAAAAGCCACCAUCAGCAAGGCAUUGGCAUGAGGUGCCUGACCCUUCAGACCUCACCCAGUGGGGACACCGUGGACCCUCCAGGCCC